rnacentral:rRNA from 1 species
UACAGAGGUCCCAAGCGUUGUUCGGAUUCAUUGGGCGUAAAGGGCGCGUAGGCGGCUUUGCAAGUGACGGGUGAAAUCCCUCGGCUUAACCGAGGAACUGCCUGUCAAACUGCAUGGCUUGAGACCGGGAGAGGUGAGUGGAAUUCCCAGUGUAGCGGUGAAAUGCGUAGAUAUUGGGAGGAACACCAGUGGCGAAGGCGGCUCACUGGACCGGUACUGACGCUGAGGAGCGAAAGCGUGGGGAGCGAACAGG